UGCACGAGCCCCUCACCAAAAGCCUUUAGCAGCGGCAUUCGCCCCUCUGAUUCCAUCGGGGUGUCAGACCUACCCUGAGCAAACCUUCUCCCCGUGCCUGACCGUACCUUCUCUCCCAGGGAUCUCAGCCUGGGGAGGAGAGCUGUGGUUGGCAUGAACCACAUUGCUCCAUCCAGAAGCACAUGAAAAGGCAAAACUGUGUUUUGGCUGUGAGAACUGUUUGGCCCUUUGGGGACCAUGGCACAGCGCACAAAGAGAGGGAAGAGGCCUGAAUCCAAGCUGUUACCAGCACUUCAGCGGGGGCAGUUUUAGGGACAAGCAUUUUUCCUAACAGCUGAUUAUCUGGUAGCUGGUCUAAGCAAGCCGGUCCUGAGGUCCUGUUUCAUGUGGCAGCUCCAGGAAUGACUUCCUGGCACACCCAGGGUUUUGUGGCACUCCUUGCUCUGGAGUAAUUUAAAAAGCAUAGCUGCUCUUUCCUUCUCCCUGAGGACCCCGUUGUUUGGGCCAACCAGGCUGUGGCUGUGCACCGAGACACAUCCCAAAUGCCAGGUGCUGGGGAAUUUGUGAUUGCUAUGUGUCAGUAAGGAAGAUCCACAUCGCUCCUCCUCCAGCUCCACCAACCACAAACCCACACACUUCUAGUGGUACUUCCCUACUCCAGCAAAAUAGUUGGCACUGACUAGAGAAGCAGCAGCUUGCAGCUGGCACAGAUCAGCCAUGACUCACUGGCCUCAGUGACUUUGAACUUGCUCACUUGUUGUUGCCUCUUCCUUCCCCCCUUUUCUCACAGAGCUGCACAAAGAGAGCUGGCAGGACUGCCCACCACCCCAGCGGGCACCACUCACCUUGCCAAGCAGGGCCCCCUCCAUGCCCCCUCCUGCCACCCCCCAGCUGCUUCGCCGCCAUCACAAUUGUGUUCACUUGCCUUUGAAAUCGGCAGGAGACAUCAGCUAUGCUCAGAUGAUUAAAAGAGAGGCAGAAGCACCUGCUCAUGUUUGGGGCUUAGAGCUGUGCUUGUGCUGAAUACAUACACUGUUAUUUGGGUGCCCAGAUACAGAAGCGUUGGAGGGGGACUUUUCUUCAGCUGCUGAAAUAUUCAGCCAGAUCACAGUGCAGCAGUUUGCAGAGACCACCUCUCCCAUCUUCACAUCACCACUGUCCCAAAAAAACCCUAUUAUUUUUAAGCACUUUAUGUGCUGGAUGCUCAAGUGUUUUUACCUUAACAAUGGGAGCCCUGUUAGGAUGGGCUAAAUGGACUAACCAACAGCAACAUCUUGCCCCACUGCAUACAUCAUGUCUCUUGAAAGCAUUUUGGGACCACAAAAUUUCAACCUGUAAGACACAUUUGGAUACUUAGGAGGUUAGGCAGUCUCUAACAUCAAGUGGGAAGGAAAGGACAUUUUUCCAAGGCAUGGGAACUAAUGGAGUGAGGGUGAACUACUUGUGACAGAUGGUUGUUGGCAGUUUCCUUGCUCGCUUCCAAAGCAUAGAUCCAAAUGAGUGACCAAAACAAGCUUGAACUUUCCUCCCUCUCACCUCUAUGACUUUUUCAUGGGGAGGGAGGUGGGCCUAGCACAUUUGCCUGAAGCAAGUUGUGGUUAUGAGCCCUGCACAACCCAAGCUUGGCAGCAGCCAAGGGCUGCCCAUGUGCAGAGAGUUGGUAACAACACAAGGGGCAGCCUGGUGUCACACAGGCUUAGCAGUGGGUCUGGUGGCAGUACUGACACAUUCGCCUGGCACUGCACCUGAGCUAAUAAGCCUUUGGUUUGUUAGCUUGGGCACAGCACUGCACUGACAUCAGGGGACCUGCACUGGUUCCCAGCCCACCAGCUGGGUUGCCUCUGGGCUGUUUUUCCUGGUUCUGGUGCUGGGUAAGCACAGAAAAUGUAAGGGCCAAGAAAGUUACAUCAUUCAAAGUCCCCCUUCCUUACUUUUUGUAACACUUACUAAGGCUGAAGCCCCAGCAGUUCUCCAGCUUUUGCUGCUGCCUCCAUCUCAGGAGGAGAUGGACAGGAAUGAGCAAGCUAAGGGAGGGCAUGGGAGCAGCUGUAAAUGGCUUUGUCACUGUGCCCACUGCAGUGCCCUGCAUGCCGACUCUUCCUUUUAUCCAUUUUCAGCCAUCAGACUUGCAGAGCAUCUUGCACUUGAAUCCAUCUCAUGGCUCCACACAGCAGCUUAGGGAAGGUCUGGGAAAUCAAUCACCUCUGCUCAGAUCACACAUGAAAUAUCAGCAGAACUAACUCUGUUUGUUUCAGCUGCUGGAUUCCAGGUCUGGAGUCACCUCAUCCAAAAGGCAGCAGGCGUAUCAUCAGAUAUGUUGUAGAGUCAGGCAAGGAAAGGACAGUGACAUUUUGAGGACCUUCUGGAAAUGCUCCCUUGUGCCAUGUAUUUCUGCAGUAAUGGACUGCACAUCUCCCUGGAGAGCAUUCCCUGCUUCGUGGACAUCCCUGCAUGAUGAGGCCCUGGGCACUUACGAUGUGGAUGCUGUAAUUCACUGCUUUAGGGCACAGCAUGAACAGUAUGUGAGAGCUUUCCCCCUGUUGUUUGUAAAAGAAAAAUCUGUGGAACAAGAUCAACAGUCAUAAAGUGCCAGGAAAUGAAUGGUCUUGUGGCCCAGCUUACAGGAAAGUGAGUGGCUCAUAUUCCCAAGCUGGGCUAGCUGCCUUGGUUGCUGACAUUUUUCUAGUGCCAGGAUCUGGCUGCUGCAGUAGAAGGAUGCAGCGAUGUGGGCUCUGUGGCAAAGCACAUUCCUCCUAAUGUUAACAUUGACAUCCACCCUUAAGUCCCAUAGGUGCAGAGAGGAGAGUUCUACUCAGUUACAUGGUUCAACCAACUGGAAAUGCAACCUUCUUAAUGUUACACUCAAUACAGUUUUCAAAUUGUCAUUAUACAAUGGAGUCCUUAGGACAUGGUGCUUUUCUCUGCUUGGUACCAAUAAUUAGCUCUGCAGGGAGAAAAUCACCAAAAUUGAAAAAAAAAACCUCUUGACCCAAACUGUUUUGGAGAACUUCUGGAAACUUUUUGGAACGGUGACCAGACAAGUCCAGACAAGAGGAAUCUGUGCCUGCUCUGCUUCAGAAGUUGAGCCAUGACAUCUCACUGGUACAGCAGUGCUGUUGGGACAGGGGUCUGGUUCCUUCCACGGGGACAUUGCAGCAGCAGUGUCUGUGCAUAGGGAUGUGUGUGAACUAAACUUUCACCAGGCUCUUCUGGACAGCGUGAUGUGUCCUCUUUUGUGCACUGGAUGUGCCAUUUCUUUGGCAACUCUGGGGACAGAACUGCCUUCCUGCAUGCAUGUACUGUAAACAGCAUGCUGAACAUUUAAGUCUGCACCUUAUCUAAAGGCAAAAAGAAGAAAAGUAUAGCAUAUUUUGGCAGCAACUUAUGCCACAUGGGCAAGAAUAUGACAGUUGUAGGAAAGCCUUCCUAUUGUUUUUUUCCACCUUCCACUCUAGCUGAGUCCAGGUCAAAAGUGCAACUGCCAACAGGUGUAUGCUUGGGUGCUGUGGAAGGAGAGUGUUAGCAAGGGUCCUGGCAUGUCAAAAGGCUCCUAGUACCUCCUUUAUUGACUUGUUCAGUCCAGAGGCUUCCCCUUUUGCAGCCAUCUUCUCUCUUCAAACAUAGAGAGGGCCAAUUUCCAUAUGCAUUAACAUUCCAGGGGCAUCACAGGAGCAGCAAAUCCUUUGAAGGGUAGAGAAGCUCUUUCUAGCUAUUUCCCCUUGGAGCCGAUUCCAACGCAAAUCUGCAUCUGAACAACUGUUCAGUGACUAAUGCAUGAAUUGUACCUUGACCAGUUGCAAUAUUGCACUCAGGAUUUUUUUAUACUCUGUUUCCACUGAACCAAGUAGGAUUUAAAGAAGCACUGUAAGAUUUAGUGAAAUGAGGGUUGUGUUUGGAGCCAGGGCUCAAGUGUUCUCCCUUCUUUUAUGGUCUACUCAGAUAUAGGGAACACACUUUAAAAAAUAGAAUUUCUCACUCCCAUGCACAAGGGAGCUAGCGUAGGUGGGAAGAAAAGGUCACUGCCUGCUCAGCCCUUGCCCCAUUGCACCAUUUCACCUGCUGGCAUUCCUCUCAGCCAUUCCACAAGCAUUAACAGCUUUUUACUGGAUUACUCUACUUUCUAUCCUGCUACACCUUUGAUCUACAUUACAUCUUGAAAUAUGGCAUUUAAAAUGUAAAAUAAAAAAAAAGAACUAAUUCCAUUAACUCAAAAUAGGUCUCUAAUUGACCUCUUAAUGUGGUGUAUUUAACAUGACACCAUACCAUUUUCAUAUGUAAAUGGGAUGAUUCUUAAUAAUUCAGUGCUUCUAUUUUCAUUCUAUAGAAUACAUCUUCAAGGGAGUUGGGAGAACGUUGUGAAUUUCUGUCAUUUAUCACUCUGCCACAAAAAUUAAACUGCAGCUGCCAACAUGAAACAGUGCAUUUUACACCUGCCUUCCUAUGCUUUGCUCCUGCGGUGCACAACUCCAAAACCUGUGUGCUUUUCUUAUAAUAAACAUAUUGAAAACUUCCUAAUCUGUUCAGUAGCAGGAAGAGGAAGGUGCUGACAAACAGCAUUUCCCAUUGCAGGAUUCAGCUCAGACUCCCAGCUAUUCUGAGGAAUAAAAUGUGCACAGAGGAGAACUUAUUAAUUUGAUUCCAUGUCGGGCUCGUAUGCAGCAUCUCCCUGUGCCACCUCCCUCUCCCCAGCCAGCCCGUCCCCUCCACCCCCCCGGUGACACUUCACAUUUAACCUAAACCCUCUCAGAUUAAGCGGGCGUGUAAUUUACUCCCGCAGCGAGGUCCAUUGCAGUUGUGGAGGUGAUGUAAAGGAGAGUUUGUUUAAACAGUGUUAAGCCUGCAAAACUGCAGGAAAAAACGCUGGUCUGGGCUGUCAGCAAAGCCUUUAAUGUGCAUUCAGUCUUGCAUUCAUCUGGGAUCUGUGUAUGGUAUUGAUUGAUGUUUUAUUACUGUUUGGUAGAUAAAAAUAUUGAACUUAAGAACAACUCAAUUGCGGGAAGGGCUUUAUAUAGUCAUCACAACAUGCUUCUGCUGCUGCUGUGAGUGUAGGAGGCAGGGUAGUUUUCUACCACUUAACAUGUAAAGUCUGACAUAUUUUAAGAACAUAAUCAAACUGCAGCUUUAGAAAUCACUUUAAACAUAAAAAAACCCCAAAGAAAUAAAUCCAUAGUCUUUUGAAAAUUUCCCUCAGCUAAACUAUUCCAAUAUGCUAUUUUUACUUUUAUUAUUUCUUUCCGCCUUUGGCAGCACAGGUCUUUUCAACCAGAUAGGGUAUAAUGGACCAUGAAAGCAGGAUACAUCCUCAGAACCCAAAUGUCAGCAGCAGUUAAGGUGAACUGCUUCAUUCUAAGGUGCAACGAGUUACCUUGUGCUUCACUGGAAACCUCAGCACUGGUGGGAGAGAGGGACUGGGAAAGGAGGUGGUUCUUCACCGAGAUGGAUUGUGACAGCCCUCAGGCCACUGGUGCCUCCUCGUUCUAUGAAACAACAGCUUUGUUAGAGAAGUACAAGGGAAAGUAUCAUUGCCAGGUUUGCACUAUUUCCCCCUCUCACAGACUGUAUUUUACACAGCUGACAGUGCAUUUGUUACAGCCUACCUUCAGAUGUGUGCCAACAGGACAUACUGGAAAUUGUGCACCCAGACCAGAGGAUUUCUUAACCAUAGGCCUCUGACAUCUGCUGCACACUUGUUACACGGCUGGAACAUGAACAGAGCUUUUAAUUUUGCUCUUUGAUUUUUGCAUUCCUGUUUUUAAAUGCUGUUUAUGUAAUUUAUGCCUUGCAAGCCCACAGAAGUUUGGUGGAAAGGAACUUCUUUAUUUGAACUCUCCGAAGUGCAAUAUUUCUCUUGGCUUAAUUUUUCCCUCCUUCUAAGCUUAUGAAUUAUCAUCUGACAAAUUGGAUCUGUUCUUUUCCAACAAGUUAUUUGAACACAUACUUGUAGCUGUUUUUAAGAACAGUACAGCUUUCAGAUAACUUCAUUGUUAUUUUAUGUGCCAGAUGUGGUUUGUUUUCCACAGUUGGAGUAUUAGAAAAAUGUUGCAUAACCACAAACAUCCAUCUAUUCUUUUACAAAUAGAAAUUAAAAUCUACAGAUAAAAGGUAAGUGGAUCAUGCAGAACCCAACACUGCCUUAUUUCACUUGUCUCUUUAUGCUGAAAUGAGUUCAGGCUUGCAGUCACCUCCCUGCCAAAAUACAAGCUCGUCACUCAUCUUCCCUGUGCCUGGGCUUCCCCAGCCAUCCUGCUUCUCUGCACUCCAGUGACUGCAUUUGACUUAACAUGCCCAUUGACCAGAAGCAUCGAAAGAAAUCCUUCUUUAUUCAAACCUUCAAAGCAAGUUCAGUAAGCCUUUUGGUUACUCUCCACUGACUAUGUCACCCACAUUAACAGAUUUACUUUUGAAAUUUAAAGUUUCAUUAAAAGCUGGGAUGUGCCCUGAAUUUUAUCCAUA